rnacentral:rRNA from 1 species
AGUGAACGCUGGCGGUAGGCCUAACACAUGCAAGUCGAACGGCAGCACAGUAAUAGCUUGCUCUUACGGGUGGCGACUGGCGGACGGGUGAGGAAUACAUCGGAAUCUACUUUUUCGUGGGGGAUAACGUAGGGAAACUUACGCUAAUACCGCAUACGACCUACGGGUGAAAGCAGGGGAUCUUCGGACCUUGCGCGAUUGAAUGAGCCGAUGUCGGAUUAGCUAGUUGGCGGGGUAAAGGCCCACCAAGGCGACGAUCCGUAGCUGGUCUGAGAGGAUGAUCAGCCACACUGGAACUGAGACACGGUCCAGACUCCUACGGGAGGCAGCAGUGGGGAAUAUUGGACAAUGGGCGCAAGCCUUAUCCAGCCAUACCGCGUGGGUGAAGAAGGCCUUCGGGUUGUAAAGCCCUUUUGUUGGGAAAGAAAAGCAGCAGGUUAAUACCCCGCUGUUCUGACGGUACCCAAAGAAUAAGCACCGGCUAACUUCGUG